rnacentral:rRNA from 1 species
GAUGAACGCUGACAGCAUGCUUAACACAUGCAAGUCAACUUGAACUUCGGUUUGGGUGGCGGACGGGUGAGUGACGAGUAAGGAACUUGCCUCACAGAUAGGGACCACAUAUGGAGACGUAUGCUAAUACCUGAUAUUAUGAUUAUAUAGCGUCGUUUAAUUAUGAAAGCUAUGUGCGCUGUGUGAGAGCUUUGCGUCCUAUUCGCUCGUCGGAGGGGUAACGGUUCACCAAGGCGAUGAAGGGUAGCCGGCCUGAGAGGGUGAUCGGCCACUAGGGGACGGAGACACGGCCCGAACCCCACCGGGAGGCAGCAGUGGGGAUGAUGGGACAAGGGACCAAGAGUCUUGUCCAAAAAUUGCGUGUGCGAGAUGAAGUUUUGCGGAAUGUAAAGUGCUUUCAGUUGAGAAGAAAAAAAUGACGGUACCAACAGAAGAAGCGACGGCUAAAUACGUG